UAGCCGUAAACGAUACUCGCUAGGUGUCGGCCACGGUGCGACCGUUGUCGGUGCCGUAGGGAAGCCGUGAAGCGAGCCACCUGGGAAGUACGGCCGCAAGGCUGAAACUUAAAGGAAUUGGCGGGGGAGCACAACAACGGGUGGAGCGUGCGGUUCAAUUGGAUUCAACGCCGGACAACUCACCAGGAGCGACGGUUACAUGAAGGCCAGGCUGAUGACCUUGCCUGAUUUUCCGAGAGGUGGUGCAUGGCGUAGUCGUGU
rnacentral:rRNA from 1 species